CCUACGGGUGGCAGCAGUGGGGAAUAUUGGACAAUGGGCGAAAGCCUGAUCCAGCCAUGCCGCGUGUGUGAAGAAGGCCUUCGGGUUGUAAAGCACUUUCAGUGGGGAAGAAAGCCUUGGGGCUAAUACCCUCGAGGAAGGACAUCACCCACAGAAGAAGCACCGGCUAACUCCGUGCCAGCAGCCGCGGUAAUACGGAGGGUGCGAGCGUUAAUCGGAAUUACUGGGCGUAAAGCGCGCGUAGGCGGUUUGAUAAGCCGGUUGUGAAAGCCCCGGGCUCAACCUGGGAACGGCAUCCGGAACUGUCAGGCUAGAGUGCAGGAGAGGAAGGUAGAAUUCCCGGUGUAGCGGUGAAAUGCGUAGAGAUCGGGAGGAAUACCAGUGGCGAAGGCGGCCUUCUGGACUGACACUGACGCUGAGGUGCGAAAGCGUGGGUAGCAAACAGGAUUAGAUACCCGAGUAGUC
rnacentral:rRNA from 1 species